AGAGUUUGAUCCUGGCUCAGGACGAACGCUGGCGGCGUGCUUUAUACAUGCAAGUCGAACGAUGAAGUCCUUCGGGAAUGGAUUAGUGGCGAACGGGUGAGGAACACGUGAGAAACCUGCCUUUCAUUCUGGGAUAACACCGGGAAACCGGUGCUAAUACCGGAUACUCCAUCUUGGCGGCAUCGCCGAGCUGGGAAAAAAUUUUGAUGAAAGAUGGUCUCGCGGCCUAUCAGCUAGUUGGUGAGGUAAAGGCUCACCAAGGCGACGACGGGUAGCCGGCCUGAGAGGGCGACCGGCCACACUGGGACUGAGACACGGCCCAGACUCCUACGGGAGGCAGCAGUAGGGAAUAUUGGGCAAUGGGCGAAAGCCUGACCCAGCGACGCCGCGUGAGGGAUGAAGGUCUUCGGAUUGUAAACCUCUUUCAGUAGGGAAGAAGCGAAAGUGACGGUACCUAAAGAAGAAGCACCGGCUAACUAUGUGCCAGCAGCCGCGGUAAUACAUAGGGUGCAAGCGUUGUCCGGAAUUAUUGGGCGUAAAGAGCUCGUAGGUCGUUUGUCGCGUCGAUUGUGAAAAUCUGAGGCUCAACCUCAGACCUGCAGUCGAUACGGGCAAACUAGAGUGUGGUAGGGGAGACUGGAAUUCCUGGUGUAGCGGUGGAAUGCGCAGAUAUCAGGAGGAACACCAAUGGCGAAGGCAGGUCUCUGGGCCAUAACUGACACUGAGGAGCGAAAGUGCGGGGAGCGAACAGGAUUAGAUACCCUGGUAGUCCGCACCGUAAACGGUGGGCACUAGUUGUGGGAACCUUCCACGGUUUCCGCGACGCAGCAAACGCAUUAAGUGCCCCGCCUGGGGAGUACGAUCGCAAGAUUAAAACUCAAAGGAAUUGACGG
rnacentral:rRNA from 1 species